rnacentral:rRNA from 1 species
GACGAACGCUGGCGGCGUGCUUAACACAUGCAAGUGGAGCGACGAACCGGGGCUUGCCCGGGGCAGAGCCGCGAACGGGUGAGUAACACGUGGGUAACCCACCCCGAUGACCGGGACAACCCGACGGAAACUCGGGCGUAAUACCGGAUGUGCUCCUUGACCUCGAGGUCAAGGCGUAAAGAUAGCUUCGGCCUUCGCAUCGGGACGGGCCCGCGGCCCAUUAGCUUGUUGGUGGGGUAAAGGCCUACCAAGGCGACGAUGGGUAGGCUGGUCUGAGAGGACGGAUCAGCCACACUGGGACGUGAGACACGGCCCAGACUCCUACGGGAGGCAGCAGUGGGAAUCUUGCGCAAUGCGGCGAAAGCGUGACG